rnacentral:rRNA from 1 species
GACGAACGCUGGCGGCGUGCCUAAUACAUGCAAGUUGAGCGAUGAAGCUUGGUGCUUGCACCAAUUUGAAGAGCAGCGAACGGGUGAGUAACGCGUGGGGAAUCUGCCUUUGAGCGGGGGACAACAUUUGGAAACGAAUGCUAAUACCGCAUAACAACUUUAAACAUAAGUUUUAAGUUUGAAAGAUGCAAUUGCAUCACUCAAAGAUGAUCCCGCGUUGUAUUAGCUAGUUGGUGAGGUAAAGGCUCACCAAGGCGAUGAUACAUAGCCGACCUGAGAGGGUGAUCGGCCACAUUGGGACUGAGACACGGCCCAAACGCCUACGGGAGGCAGCAGUAGGGAAUCUUCGGCAAUGGACGAAAGUCUGACCGAGCAACGCCGCGUGAGUGAAGAAGGUUGUCGGAUCGUAAAACUCUGUUGGUAGAGAAGAACGUUGGUGAGAGUGGAAAGCUCAUCAAGUGACGGUAACUACCCAGAAAGGGACGGCUAACUACGUG